GCACAAGCGGUGGAUGAUGUGGAUUAAUUCGAUGCAACGCGAAAACCUUACUACCCUUGACAUGUCCGGAAUCCUGCAGAGAUGCGGGAGUGCCCGAAAGGGAAUCGGAACACAGGUGCUGCGUGGCUGUCGUCAGCUCGUGUCGUGAGAUGUUGGGUUAAGUCCCGCAACGAGCGCAACCCUUAUCAUUAGUUGCUACGCAAGGGCACUCUAAUGAGACUGCCGGUGACAAACCGGAGGAAGGUGGGGAUGACGUCAAGUCCUCAUGGCCCUUAUGGGUAGGGCUUCACACGUCAUACAAUGGUCGGUACAGAGGGUUGCCAAGCCGCGAGGUGGAGCCAAUCCCAGAAAGCCGAUCGUAGUCCGGAUUGUUCUCUGCAACUCGAGAGCAUGAAGUCGGAAUCGCUAGUAAUCGCGGAUCAGCAUGUCGCGGUGAAUACGUUCCCGGGUCUU
rnacentral:rRNA from 1 species